rnacentral:rRNA from 1 species
ACUCGAGUGGCGAACGGGUGAGUAACACGUGGGUGAUCUGCCCUGCACUUCGGGAUAAGCUUGGGAAACUGGGUCUAAUACCGGAUAGGAGCCAUCUUUAGUGUGGUGGUUGGAAAGUUUUUUCGGUGUAGGAUGAGCUCGCGGCCUAUCAGCUUGUUGGUGGGGUAAUGGCCUACCAAGGCGGCGACGGGUAGCCGGCCUGAGAGGGUGUACGGCCGCAUUGGGACUGAGAUACGGCCCAG